UUGAGCCGCUCGUUCUUCUCUUUUUUCUUCUUCCCACGGCACAUUGCAGCCAUGGCAGCACCAUCGCCCGUUGUCCUAGACCGGUGUCGCUACUGCUCGCGUUGCUAUAAUGCUUGCUCCUACACGCCAUGCUCUACACAGCUACUGCAAACCGCAGUUGUCUCGCUGCUCCACUGCAGCUCCGACAAAUCAAGUUGUGUCGUCGUUGCUAUGCGAUGCGUCGCAGAUUCCGCCAUGGUCAUUGCGUGCUGCAUCACAACAUCCGUCGUCAUCGUCAGCGCUGCAAUGGAGCGCUGCCGGGGUCGCUGGAGCUCCGUCGCGGCUGCAAUGGAGCUCCGCCGGCGGCUCGAUGCAGCUUGUACUGGCUCGAUGCGGCAUCGCCGGCGGCCCUAGGGGUGGGAAGGUUUUGGAGUUGCAUUGGAGUGCUCCCUGGCGGCUAGACAUAGUGUUUUGGUGUUUGUGAUGAGGACAUGACAACCAUUGAUACAACCUCGGACAUCAAAAGAGAAAUCAUAAUAAUCUGUGUCAAACAAAUACAUGACCAGGUGCAAUAUCGAAGGACGCAAACAACAUCUCAACUCAUGAAGAAAGAAAGUCGAAGAAACAAGUUUUGUCAAACAAGUUUCAAGUGAAGCUGAUGUUGUUAGUUUUUACCUCCGAUGUUUCGUUGUGUCACACACAUUUGAAGGAGAGACGGGUCCGUAGGGGUACAUCAUCGGAAGCUACAUCAAAUUUACUUUUCAAUGCAAAAAAACUCCCAUUGGACUUGACAGUCAAACAUUCUAGUCAUUCUCGUGGAAGGUGCACAGGCUGUUAUGGCUUC